GACGAACGCUGGCGGCGUGCUUAACACAUGCAAGUCGAACGGAAAGGCCCUGCUUUUGUGGGGUGCUCGAGUGGCGAACGGGUGAGUAACACGUGAGUAACCUGCCCUUGACUUUGGGAUAACUUCAGGAAACUGGGGCUAAUACCGGAUAGGAGCUCCUGCUGCAUGGUGGGGGUUGGAAAGUUUCGGCGGUUGGGGAUGGACUCGCGGCUUAUCAGCUUGUUGGUGGGGUAGUGGCUUACCAAGGCUUUGACGGGUAGCCGGCCUGAGAGGGUGACCGGGCACAUUGGGGGAGAAGACCCGCCCCGACUCCCGAGGGGGGGAAGAGGGGGGAAUUAUGGACCAAGGGGCGGAAGCUUGAUGCAGAACCCCCGCGUGGGGAAGGGUGGCUUUGGGUUUGAAACCCGUUUCCCCUGGGAACGAGGGGUGAGGGCGGGAAAGGGGAAAAGAAGCCCGGGAUACCUGCGU
rnacentral:rRNA from 1 species